CGAAUUAGUCCGGGAAAGUGCCGAUGUGUCCGUCGCGAGUUUUGGUGGGCGAUUCGGUGUCCGACGUUGCGGUAAAUCAGCAAGUUUUCCGCUUGCUGGCUGCUGGUCUCUGCCUAGGAAAAGGAAGGCUGUUUUUCAGGAAAGUGCACCAGUACGAAGUCGGAUACCGGAAGCGAGUCCGAAGCUGGAUCCCGGUGGGGAGUUCGAAGCCGGCUCUCUGCAGUUCGUCAAUAAGGUAGAAGACUGGCAGCCCAAAACUUUCCGUGGAUCAUCUGUGGAAUCAUCUUUCAUUUCUCGCAUCUACUUGCAUCGUGCGUCAUCUUUAACCAGGAAAUCUUCAAAAUCGGCAUAAAUCUUCCUUCUAUCUACUCAGCGUGCGUACAGCUAGCCACAGCAAAACACAAUCUUUUCUGCAUCGUAGAUAGAGUCGUCCCCCUCGCUCAAAAAUGCUAUAACAAUCGCCAAGCUCGCUGUAA